rnacentral:rRNA from 1 species
AUGGACGCCGCGUCCUUGUCGCCGCUGCGCAUCGUGCUCUGCCCCUACCUCGCUUUCGGCCACCUGCUCCCCUACCUAGAGCUCGCCGAGCGCCUGGCGCUGCGGGGCCACAGCGUGUCCUACGUCUCAACGCCGCGCAACCUCGCCCGCCUCCCGCCGCUGCGCCCCGCCGCGGCGCCGCGCGUGGACCUCGUGCCGCUCCCGCUGCCGCGCGUCGACGGCCUGCCCGACGGCGCGGAGUCCACUAACGACGUCUCCGCCGCCGACCGCGAGCUCCAUUGGAAGGCCUUCGACGGCCUCGCCGCGCCCUUCGCGGAGUUCUUGGCCGCCGCGUGCGCCGACAAGGCCACCAGGCCUCACUGGAUCAUCGCUGACUGCUUCCACCACUGGGCCGCCGCCGCCGCCCUCGAGCACAAGGUGCCAUGCGCGGCGCUUCUGACGACCGCUGCUAUGCUCGCCGCCGUGCCUCGCCCGCCAUUGGAUCACCCCGAGGCCGACCCUGCCGUUGCCUCUGUGUUUGAACAGGCGGCCAAGGCAAGGCGCGCUGUGCCCAGUUACGAGCGGAAUGCGAUGACACGGUUUGUCACCGGGCAUGGCACGUCGUCGGGUAUGUCCAGCCUCCAGCGCUGCAUCUUGACAGGUGCACGAUCACGGCCAUCCGGAGUUGCGUCGAGUGGGAGCCGGAGUCCUUCCCGCUCUUAG